rnacentral:rRNA from 1 species
UUCCGGUUGAUCCUGCCGGACCUGACUGCUAUCGGAUUGAUACUAAGCCAUGCGAGUCAUUGUAGCAAUACAAGGCAGACGGCUCAGUAACGCGUAGUCAACCUAACCUAUGGACGGGAAUAACCUCGGGAAACUGAGAAUAAUGCCCGAUAGAACACUAUAUCUGGAAUGGUUUGUGUUCCAAAUGAUUUAUCGCCGUAGGAUGGGACUGCGGCCUAUCAGUUUGUUGGUGAGGUAAUGGCCCACCAAGACUAUUACAGGUACGGGCUCUGAGAGGAGUAGCCCGGAGAUGGGUACUGAGACACGGACCCAGGCCCUAUGGGGCGCAGCAGGCGAGAAAACUUUGCAAUGUGCGAAAGCACGACAAGGUUAAUCCGAGUGGUUUGUGCUAAACAGACCUUUUGUUAGUCCUAGAAACACUAACGAAUAAGGGGUGGGCAAGUUCUGGUGUCAGCCGCCGCGGUAAAACCAGCACCUCAAGUGGUCAGGAUGAUUAUUGGGCCUAAAGCAUCCGUAGCCUGCUUUGUCAGUUUUCGGUUAAAUCUGUAUGCUCAACAUACAGGCUGCCGGGAAUACUGCAGAGCUAGGGAGUGGGAGAGGUAGACGGUGCUCGGUAGGAAGGGGUAAAAUCCUUUGAUCUAUUGAUGACCACCUGUGGCGAAGGCGGUCUACCAGAACACGUCCGACGGUGAGGGAUGAAAGCUGGGGGAGCAAACCGGAUUAGAUACCCGGGUAGUCCCAGCUGUAAACUAUGCAAACUCAGUGAUGCAUUGGCUUGUGGCCAAUGCAGUGCUGCAGGGAAGCCGUUAAGUUUGCCGCCUGGGAAGUACGUACGCAAGUAUGAAACUUAAAGGAAUUGGCGGGGGAGCACCACAAGGGGUGAAGCCUGCGGUUCAAUUGGAGUCAACGCCGGAA